rnacentral:rRNA from 1 species
GUACACUCCUACGGGAGGCAGCAGUGGGGAAUAUUGGACAAUGGGCGCAAGCCUGAUCCAGCCAUGCCGCGUGAGUGAUGAAGGCCCUAGGGUUGUAAAGCUCUUUCACCGGUGAAGAUAAUGACGGUAACCGGAGAAGAAGCCCCGGCUAACUUCGUGCCAGCAGCCGCGGUAAUACGAAGGGGGCUAGCGUUGUUCGGAUUUACUGGGCGUAAAGCGCACGUAGGCGGACUAUUAAGUCAGGGGUGAAAUCCCGGGGCUCAACCCCGGAACUGCCUUUGAUACUGGUAGUCUUGAGUUCGAGAGAGGUGAGUGGAAUUCCGAGUGUAGAGGUGAAAUUCGUAGAUAUUCGGAGGAACACCAGUGGCGAAGGCGGCUCACUGGCUCGAUACUAACGCUGAGGUGCGAAAGCGUGGGGAGCAAACAGGAUUAGAUACCCGAGUAGUCCCA